rnacentral:rRNA from 1 species
UGAACGCUGGCGGCGUGCCUAAUACAUGCAAGUCGAGCGAACGGACGAGAAGCUUGCUUCUCUGAUGUUAGCGGCGGACGGGUGAGUAACACGUGGAUAACCUACCUAUAAGACUGGGAUAACUUCGGGAAACCGUAGCUAAUACCGGAUAAUAUUUUGAACCGCAUGGUUCAAAAGUGAAAGACGGUCUUGCUGUCACUUAUAGAUGGAUCCGCGCUGCAUUAGCUAGUUGGUAAGGUAACGGCUUACCAAGGCAACGAUGCAUAGCCGACCUGAGAGGGUGAUCGGCCACACUGGAACUGAGACACGGUCCAGACUCCUACGGGAGGCAGCAGUAGGGAAUCUUCCGCAAUGGGCGAAAGCCUGACGGAGCAACGCCGCGUGAGUGAUGAAGGUCUUCGGAUCGUAAAACUCUGUUAUUAGGGAAGAACAUAUGUGUAAGUAACUGUGCACAUCUUGACGGUACCUAAUCAGAAAGCCACGGCUAACUACGU